rnacentral:rRNA from 1 species
GCUCAGGAUGAACGCUAGCGGCAGGCCUAAUACAUGCAAGUCGAGCGGCAAGUUGAGAAGCAAUUCGAGACCUAGAGCGGCGUACGGGUGCGUAACGCGUAUGCAACCUACCUCAUACAGGGGGAUAGCCCGGAGAAAUCUGGAUUAAUACCCCAUGGUACAGCACGAGGGCAUCUGAGUGUUGUUAAAGAUUCAUCGGUAUGAGAUGGGCAUGCGUCUGAUUAGCUAGUUGGCGGUGUAACGGACCACCAAGGCGACGAUCAGUAGGGGUUCUGAGAGGAAGGUCCCCCACACUGGCACUGAGAUACGGGCCAGACUCCUACGGGAGGCAGCAGUAGGGAAUAUUGGGCAAUGGUCGGAAGACUGACCCAGCCAUGCCGCGUGCAGGAAGACGGCGUUCUGCGUUGUAAACUGCUUUUAUCUGGGAAGAAAAGGCCCAUGCGUGGGACAUUGCCGGUACCAGAUGAAUAAGCACCGGCUAACUCCGUGCCAGCAGCCGCGGUAAUACGGAGGGUGCAAGCGUUGUCCGGAUUUAUUGGGUUUAAAGGGUGCGUAGGCGGCUAUUUAAGUCAGCGGUGAAAGACUCCGGCUUAACCGGAGCAGUGCCAUUGAUACUGGAUAGCUUGAGUGUUGGAGGGGUACAUGGAAUUGAUGGUGUAGCGGUGAAAUGCAUAGAUACCAUCAGGAACACCGAUAGCGAAGGCAUUGUACUGGCCAACAACUGACGCUGAGGCACGAAAGUGUGGGGAUCGAACAGGAUUAGAUACCCUGGUAGUCCACACUGUAAACGAUGAUUACUCGCUGUUAUGCUGUAUAGUGUAGCGGCCAAGCGAAAGCGUUAAGUAAUCCACCUGGGGAGUACGCCGGCAACGGUGAA